AGUGAACGCUGGCGGUAGGCCUAACACAUGCAAGUCGAACGGCAGCACAGGAGAGCUUGCUCUCUGGGUGGCGAGUGGCGGGCGGGUGAGGAAUACAUCGGAAUCUACUCUGUCGUGGGGGAUAACGUAGGGAAACUUACGCUAAUACCGCAUACGACCUACGGGUGAAAGCAGGGGACCUUCAGGACUUGCGCGAUUGAAUGAGCCGAUGUCGGAUUAGCUAGUUGGCGGGGUAAAGGCCCACCAAGGCGACGAUCCGUAGCUGGUCUGAGAGGAUGAUCAGCCACACUGGAACUGAGACACGGUCCAGACUCCUACGGGAGGCAGCAGUGGGGAAUAUUGGACAAUGGGCGCAAGCCUGAUCCAGCCAUACCGCGUGGGUGAAGAAGGCCUUCGGGUUGUAAGGCCCUUUUGUUGGGAAAGAAAUCCAGCUGGCUAAUACCCGGUUGGGAUGACGGUACCCAAAGAAUAAGCACCGGCUAACUUCGUGCCAGCCGCCGCCGUAA
rnacentral:rRNA from 1 species